ensembl:lncRNA
CACUGAACAUAUAUAUUUUAACUUUCAUGUAGAGUCUUAAGCACAAGACAUUUUUGCUUCACCGAGGUUUAUUAAGUUGGUACUGUAACAGGGCAGUUAAUGUAAGGGGAGAGUUCUCUUGAAUAAUUUACUUAAUAAUUAAUUAAUUUAACAUCUUUAAUGCAGCACAACCAAAACAGUAACAUUGUAAUAGAGAUCCUGAACACAUAACGAUAAAAUAUCAUACAAAGUACACACACACACACACACACACACACACACUUUGAACCCACACUGAAGUGUUUUUAAGCAUGUAACCUGUGUAUUAUAUGUUUUAAGAUUGUGCCACUUGCUGUAUAAGAUUUAAUAAUUAGGAUUAAUGUCUGACCUUUGACCGUGUCAUGACCUAUUGUGAUAAGCCAGAGCAAGGGGUACUCAGAGUCCUGACUGGCCUUUGGCCAAGACCUUGGCCGCUAUCUGACCCCAGCAGCUGUGCGGGGCGUGUGGGAAAGUUACCCAGCAGCAGGGGGCGGGGAUACUGGUCCCUAUAUUAGGGGACCAGAGGACACCCCCAGAGCUCUUUUCCUCCUGCUGCUGCUACCUGUCUGUCUCUGUGUUGCUCUGCUGUCUGUGCUUAAGGCUGUACACCCCGGGGUUUUGCUUUGCUUGCUUUCUGCUUUGUAAUUUUCUUGCUAAAUGUCUGUAUGUAUUUUUCCUGCUGUUCAUAUGAUUCAGUGUAUUAAACUCUGUUCCAAGAAUUCUGCUCUUUUACAGAGCAUCUUUUUGAGUGUCUUGGUUUUAAUUGGAUUUGGAUCUCCACAUCGUUGGUGGAAGAAGGUUAUCAGGAUGGCUUCAAAAUUUGCGACCACAGGGUGAUGCAUUCAGGAGUGAGGGACACUCUUGUACAAAUAAGAGAGAGAUAUUGGAUCAUCCAGGCUCGGCAGCUGGUUAAGAGCAUUGUGACCAGAUGCACUGUGUGUAAGAGGUUUAAGGCAAAGGCUGGGCAUCAGCUAACUGCACCUUUGCCUAGGGACUGAAUAUCCGAGUCACCACCAUUCGAAGUUACAGGUGUGGAUUUUGCUGGGCCGCUCUAUGUGAAAACAGAGGAUUCUGUGAAAAGAUCCUGCAUUGCCCUAUUUACCUGUGCUGUGACACGAGCUGUCCAUUUAGAGCUUGUGUCAGAUCAGUUAACUGAGACAUUUUUGCUAGCGUUGAAGAGAUUCAUUGCCCGGAGAGGGCUAUGCAGAGUUAUCUAUUCUGACAAUGCCAGAACAUUUAAGAGAGCAGACCAAGAUUUGAAGGAGCUGUGGAAGACAAUUAAAGACCCACAUUUGCUGGAGUUUUUCUCGGAAGGAGGAAUUACUUGGAAGUUCAUUGCAGAAAGAGCAGCCUGGUGGGGUGGAUUCUGGGAACGUCUUGUCAGAUCAGUGAAAAUCUGCCUCAAGAAGGUGUUAGGUAGAGCUUCACUCCACUUUGAAGAAAUGUGUACUGUGUUGGCGGAAGUCGAAGCUACUCUGAACUCUUGGCCUCUCACCUUUGUGCACAACGAGGUAAAUGA